rnacentral:rRNA from 1 species
GCGAGCGGCGGAUGGGUGAGUAACACGUGGGGAACCUGCCCCUAAGUCUGGGAUACCAUUUGGAAACAGGUGCUAAUACCGGAUAAUAAAGCAGAUCGCAUGAUCAGCUUUUGAAAGGCGGCGUAAGCUGUCGCUAAGGGAUGGCCCCGCGGUGCAUUAGCUAGUUGGUAAGGUAACGGCUUACCAAGGCGACGAUGCAUAGCCGAGUUGAGAGACUGAUCGGCCACAUUGGGACUGAGACACGGCCCAAACUCCUACGGGAGGCAGCAGUAGGGAAUCUUCCACAAUGGACGCAAGUCUGAUGGAGCAACGCCGCGUGAGUGAAGAAGGUUUUCGGAUCGUAAAGCUCUGUUGUUGGUGAAGAAGGAUAGAGGUAGUAACUGGCCUUUAUUUGACGGUAAUCAACCAGAAAGUCACGGCUAACUACGUGCCAGCAGCCGCGGUAAUACGUAGGUGGCAAGCGUUGUCCGGAUUUAUUGGGCGUAAAGCGAGCGCAGGCGGAAAAAUAAGUCUAAUGUGAAAGCCCUCGGCUUAACCGAGGAACUGCAUCGGAAACUGUUUUUCUUGAGUGCAGAAGAGGAGAGUGGAACUCCAUGUGUAGCGGUGGAAUGCGUAGAUAUAUGGAAGAACACCAGUGGCGAAGGCGGCUCUCUGGUCUGCAACUGACGCUGAGGCUCGAAAGCAUGGGUAGCGAAACAGGAUUAGAUACCCUGGUAGUCCAUGCCGUAAAACGAUGAGUGCUAAGUGUUGGGA